AGUAAAUACGACUUUGAAAACUCUUGAUUUUUUUUCUUUCUUCUCUAAGUUUUUUUUGCCAAAUCUCUCUUCUCUAAGUAAUUACUGAUUUAGCAUCCUCGUCAACAUCAUCACCUUCCUCCGUCUUUCAUAUUAUCUGAUACUGCUCGCGGUUCAUCUUGUUCGACAGUUGAACCAGGUUUAUUAAUCGAGAGAGCAUAGACUUCUCAUAUGCUCAAAGUGUGCAAGCCGUUCAGAAUCGAAACAUGAAGGUGGUUUAGUCUACUGAUGCAAAACUUAGGCUUAAAUGGACUCCUGAGUUGAGUAUCUAUAUAUGAUCUUAUCAUUAAACUAUAAAAAAAUGGCAAGCUUCUAAUUCUUUUGGACAUUGACAGAGGCAACGCCAAAGAUUGUGUUGAGGAUGAUGGAUUACAAAGAGAUACAAAGUACUCAAGGCGAAUCUAAAGCACGCAUUGCUGAGGGAAUCCGAAAUCCAAUCAACGAAAGCUUUCAGAUUGCUCAGCCUCUUGAAAUGAAAAAGGAAGUGCAGAGAAAACUUCAUGAACAGAUUGAGGUUCAAGUGGUUGGCUUGCUUUGCAGAAUUCCUGAGAAAUAAAGCAGGCAUGAACUGCGAUGGAGAGUUGCUGUCGGCGGUAGUGCCUUUGCUAGUAAAAAUAGAACCAAUUCACAUUCUAGAGGAAAAUCUAAAUGAGAUAGCCAACUAAACAGAUGAUCUACUGGAGGUGAACUUUUUAACCAAGCUGGUGGCUCUAAAACCUGGGAAGACUGGUUAAGAAAUGAUAAAAAAUGUAAUGCUAGGAAAAGAUGACGGAGCUGAAGAUACCGCGAGUAAAGAGGAAAACACUAGGGGUGAAAGUAAUUCAAACGGACAGCUCUUUCAGAUUUCAUGAAGAUAUUUGUGGAAAAUGAUUCUGUAGCAGAAAAGACAUUCAAUGUUUUGUGAUUUUGAAUAUCGUUAUUUUUGAUGGAAUAUUUUCCAUUUUUUAAUUUUGGUGAAUAUUUUUUUUGUGAUGUAAUGGAUGGAAUAGAUGGAAUUUGUUGCGAUAUAAUGGAUGGAAUAUUUUCGUGAUGUAAUGGAUAAAAUAUUUUCCGUUUUGUAA